rnacentral:rRNA from 1 species
AUUGAACGCUGGCGGCAGGCCUAACACAUGCAAGUCGCACGAGUGGCGGACGGGUGAGUAAUGUCUGGGAAACUGCCUGAUGGCGGGGGAUAACUACUGGAAACGGUAGCUAAUACCGCAUACCAUCGGAUGUGCCCAGAUGGGAUUAGCUGGUAGGUGGGGUAAAGGCUCACCUAGGCGACGAUCCCUAGCUGGUCUGAGAGGAGGACCCGCCCACCUGGAACUGAGACACGGUCCAGAAUCCGACGGGAGGCAGCAUUGGGGAAUAUUGCACAAUGGGCGCAAGCCUGAUGCAGCCAUGCCGCGGGUAUGAAGAAGGCAUUAGGGUUUUAAAGUACUUUCAGCGGGGAGGCGUUAACCGCAGAAGAAGCACCGGCUAACUCCGUGCCAGCAGCCGCGGUAAUUC